UACGUAGGUGGCAAGCGUUGUCCGGAAUUAUUGGGCGUAAAGCGCGCGCAGGCGGCUUCUUAAGUCUGAUGUGAAAUCUCGGGGCUCAACCCCGAGCGGCCAUUGGAAACUGGGAAGCUUGAGUACAGAAGAGGAGAGUGGAAUUCCACGUGUAGCGGUGAAAUGCGUAGAUAUGUGGAGGAACACCAGUGGCGAAGGCGACUCUCUGGUCGUAACUGACGCUGAGGCGCGAAAGCGUGGGGAGCAAACAGG
rnacentral:rRNA from 1 species